rnacentral:rRNA from 1 species
AUGUCAGGAAAACAUCCACGUACAAUUCUCACCGAUGAAGAUGCAGCAAUGGCGAAGGCAAUUCGUGAUGUCUUCCCUCACUCUCACCAUAGACUUUGUGUGUGGCAUAUGAAUCAAACUGCUUGCAAGCACCUCGCCCGAGUUGUUAAUGAAUAUAAGAAGUUCAAUUUUGAUUUUCAGCACUAUAUUUAUGAUAUAGAAGAGGAGGAUGAAUUUGUAGAUGCAUGGGAUAAAAUGAUUGACAACACCACCCAAAGAAAUGAAAGCAUGAAUAAUGAACUGAAGAGAUACAUUAGUAUUAAAUAUGAAAUGCUUACUUUCUUUGAGCAUUUUGAAUGGCUAGUUUCGGAUAAAAGAUGUAAAGAGGUGAAGUAUGACUUUAAAGCAACACAGACUACUCCCAGUCGAAGGUUGAAUCUAGCUAUAUGUUAA